rnacentral:SRP_RNA from 2 species
GCUGGGCGUGGUGGUGCGCGCCUGUAAUCCCAGCUACUCUGGAGGCUGAGGCAGGAGAAUCGCUUGAACCCGGGAGGCAGAGGUUGCAGUGAGCUGAGAUCUGCCAUUGCACUCCAGCCUGGGUAAUAGAGUGAGACUUUGUCUCAA